CGUAAGCGCCACUUCGUGGUGCUGCACGCCAAGCCGCUCGCCGUCACUCGCCGGACGCUUCGCCGGCGACAGGAGUACGCAGUGGUAAGAGCGGUUUCACGCCGGCGAACACAAGAGGGCCGCGGUGACCCUGGAGGGCAGGUGCGAGGAACCAUCCACCGCGGUUUCUACGCCGGGUAGGAGACGCCCUGCUUCCUGGAUGAGCUCACUGAUACGUUUACCUCAUGCACCCGUCGACUAAUGGCUGAACCAUGGCUGCCAAUAAUCCAAUAUCAUGUCGGAAGUAAACACUGAAGUGGAGGACAAGGAGGGGAAUCUGAAGCUCAAGAUAACUGACUGCAGACUGGAGGUUGAUACUGAUAAAUUUAUCAACUACCUGUGCCUUGAAACCUCUUGGAUUUCCUAUGGUCUGCGACAUUUUUCCAUUAACAACAGAGGUUGACAACAAAACACUUAGACAUGUUUGUUCCACGGGUAUUUUUUUUCUUCUCUUUAAUCAAAUGAUGAUGAAUUGAACUUAAAGUUACUUCAACACUCUCCCUCUUUAAUCAAAUGAGAAUACUCUAAAUUUGAGCUCUCCGCGAAGAAACAAUUUUAUUUGUCUUAUUACCUCUAGAAAUUUCUCUUAUCAAUGCCUCCGUUGUCCAAGCCACAAAGCUUCAGUUUCUAGGGAGAGGUUCUCUGUCAUACUCUGAUAUGCAUAGGACAUACAAGUGCGCUCAUAAUCUGAGUAUAGUAAAAUGGAUGAGUCUGAACAAAUUCACCCAGUAUACUAUCUCACUUUCUUUUCAAAAUUCAAACCCUUCACUUGUAUGUUACAUUGACUACAUUAUUAGCAUAACCAAAUUUAGAUUUAUUUGUACCGAAAUUGCUGAACAUGAAGCAGAAGUGAGGAACCGGAGAUGUAUGUAGUGUUUGCGUGCAUAGGUAUGGUCACACAUGUUCGGAGAUUUAAGUUGCAAGUUAGCUACACACCCAAUGGAGCCAUGUUGCAUAACCACUUUUAGAUUUAUUUGUACCGAAAUGUCUGAACAUAAAGCAGAAGUAUAUCUUCUUUGAUGAAUGAGGAACCGGAGAUGUAUAUAUUGUUUGCAUGCAUAGGUAUACAUGUACGGAGAUUUAAGUUGCAAGUUAACUACACACCCAAUGGAGCCAUGUUCAAGUAUGAAUUGCAUUAGCUUAACUUCCCACUGGUAAUCCACUCCUCAGAUGAACCAGAUAUCAUCUUGUGCAAAUACAUGAAGGGUAAUCUUGAGCAUUGUUUUAAGGGAUUCUCGAAAGUUUAUAUGCAAUUUACAGUCUUUAGGACUUCUCGAAAGUUUAUAUGCAAUUCCAUUCAGCAGUUUGUCACAUUAUGUACAGGUUUGUUAUUGUUCUGCAGGACAUGGCCUUUAUCUUUGGUCUGGGCAACACACAAUACUUUCGAACUGAUUAACACCUAUGUGUAGUAUAUAGCGUAAGUAUUCAGCGAACAAUUAUGCUUGGCGUUAGAUUUGCUUUGAAAUCAAGAGACAUGACCUGAAUCAUUCACACAUACUUCUGAUUUCUUUGCUUGGCCAUGUAUAUUUUUUCACAUUCUUAAUUAUCUUUUCAACUGCACUUCAUUAUUUUCUACAUUCAAACUUUCUGGCCAACUAUUUUAACAGUUAACUACAUUAGAAUUUUUUUUAGUGAUUGCCUUAUGUUUCAAUGUUGACACCUUACAACAAAUUUUUUCCGCUGAUGCAUCUCAUACUUAGUUAGAAAUACAUGUAAGGAAGCGUGAACUUUUGCAGG